UUUUAAAAGUCACGUUACAAUAAAAGAGUUAUAACAAUUUUCGUCGUUAGACAAGUGCGAAAUUAAAGUUCUAAAAAUAAAAAGUCCAAAGUAAUGUGAGAACCGACUUAUUGAUCGUUGUGAGAAUACAAAAAAGAAAACCAUAAGAUUAUUUGGAUCAUCCGAAGUCGAAUAUAAAUUUAAAAUAAAAAACUUACAUAAGUGAUUAUAUAACGUGAAAGGAAAAAGAAAAAAUAAAAAAAAAAUCUCGAUCAGCCAAAGGCGUCUUGUCUAUAUAAACCUUUCUUAGGUGUAUCAAGAUCUGAAAUUGUAAUGUCACCAAUGUACCGAAGAGUACGUGCAGCUUUGACAGGUGUUUGGAAGCAUUGAAUAGUUUCACAACUCGGCAGUGUAGAUGCACGAUUUACUAUUGCACAAGUUUCUAUAAGAUGGGAUCUUCGUCGACAGAUACAAACUCGAAGUUUCCCUUGUCCACAUCCACAGUUAUAUUAUCAAAG